rnacentral:lncRNA from 1 species
CCUGCUCAUCACCUUUAAAGGUACAUGAUCUGACUUAUUAUUAUUAUUAAACAAAGGUUGUAUGCCCGAGCUCAUAGUAACGAAGUAAUAAGAGAAAAAUGAGGAUGUCCUUACAAGAAUCAUAAAAACUCGUAGGUCGAGAGUUCAGCCCACUGUUAAAAACAGAGCUCAUGGGUACGGCUAGUCCAGCUCGGAAAGAGCUUACAGAUAAGAAUGCCUUAGUGAAAUAGAUAAAUUUAUAAGUCAAAAGUUC